AAGUUGGAUUCGCUAGUAAUCGCGCAUCAGCCAUGGCGCGGUGAAUACGUUCCCGGGCCCUUGUACACACCGCCCGUCAAGCCAUGGGAGCCGGGGGCGCCUGAAGUCCGGGACCGCGAGGACCGGCCUAGGGCGAAACUGGUAACUGGGGCUAAGUCGUAACAAGGUAGC
rnacentral:rRNA from 1 species